UACGUAGGAGACGAGCGUUGUCCGGAGUUACUGGGCGUAAAGGGUGCGCAGGUGGCGGCGCGCGUGGGGGGGUGAAAUCGCCCGGCUUAACUGGGCGGGGGGCCUUCCAGACGGCGUGGCUUGAGCAGCGGAGGGGGACGUGGAAUUCCUGGUGUAGCGGUGAAAUGCGCAGAUAUCAGGAGGAACACCGGUGGCGAAGGCGGGUCUCUGGGCCGAAACUGGACGCUGAGGAGCGAAAGCGUGGGGAGCGAACAGG
rnacentral:rRNA from 1 species